CAAAACUAUUACAGGGAGACAGUUAUUAGAUUCCCGCCACGAGAUGAGGAAUGCAUGCAGGAUAAGUCUUACCGUGGAGCUGCUGUGGAAUUGCAGCCACGUGAAGACCACGUGGUUGCGUGGGCGC